rnacentral:rRNA from 1 species
AAUGGAUCAUUAUUCGUACAA